UUUAUUGGGCGUAAGCGAGCGCAGGCGGUUUUUUAAGUCUGAUGUGAAAGCCUUCGGCUCAACCGAAGAAGUGCAUCGGAAACUGGGAAACUUGAGUGCAGAAGAGGACAGUGGAACUCCAUGUGUAGCGGUGAAAUGCGUAGAUAUAUGGAAGAACACCAGUGGCGAAGGCGGCUGUCUGGUCUGUAACUGACGCUGAGGCUCGAAAGUAUGGGUAGCAAACAGGAUUAGAUACCCUGGUAGUCCAUACCGUAAACGAUGAAUGCUAAGUGUUGGAGGGUUUCCGCCCUUCAGUGCUGCAGCUAACGCAUUAAGCAUUCCGCCUGGGGAGUACGGCCGCAAGGCUGAAACUCAAAGGAAUUGACGGGGGCCCGCACAAGCGGUGGAGCAUGUGGUUUAAUUCGAAGCUACGCGAAGAACCUUACCAGGUCUUGACAUACUAUGCAAAUCUAAGAGAUUA
rnacentral:rRNA from 1 species